CCUACGGGGUGCAGCAGUGGGGGAUAUUGCACAAUGGGGGGAACCCUGAUGCAGCGACGCCGCGUGGGGGAAGACGGUUCUCUGUAUUGUAAACCACUGUCCCCGGGGAGGAAGUUGACGGUACCUGGGUAAGAAGCUCCGGCUAACUACGUGCCAGCAGCCGCGGUAAUACGUAGGGAGCGAGCGUUGUCCGGAAUUACUGGGUGUAAGGGGAGCGUAGACGGGGAAGCAAGGUGGGGGGCAAACCUAGGGGCUCAACUGGGAACCGCACUGGAAACUGCAGCUCUGGAGUGAAGGAGAGGCAGGCGGAAUUCCUGGUGUAGCGGUGAAAUGCGUAGAUAUUAGGAGGAACACCAGUGGCGAAGGCGACCUGCUGGGCCUUUACUGACGCUGAGGCUCGAAAGUGUGGGGAGCAAACAGGAUUAGAUACCCUGGUAGUC
rnacentral:rRNA from 1 species